AUUGAACGCUGGCGGCAUGCUUUACACAUGCAAGUCGAACGGCAGCGCGGGCUUCGGCCUGGCGGCGAGUGGCGAACGGGUGAGUAAUACAUCGGAACGUACCCAGUAGUGGGGGAUAGC
rnacentral:rRNA from 1 species